rnacentral:rRNA from 2 species
UAAUACAUGCAAGUCGAGCGGACAGAUGGGAGCUUGCUCCCUGAAGUCAGCGGCGGACGGGUGAGUAACACGUGGGCAACCUGCCUGUAAGACUGGGAUAACUCCGGGAAACCGGGGCUAAUACCGGAUAAUUCUUUCCCUCACAUGAGGGAAAGCUGAAAGAUGGUUUCGGCUAUCACUUACAGAUGGGCCCGCGGCGCAUUAGCUAGUUGGUGAGGUAACGGCUCACCAAGGCAACGAUGCGUAGCCGACCUGAGAGGGUGAUCGGCCACACUGGGACUGAGACACGGCCCAGACUCCUACGGGAGGCAGCAGUAGGGAAUCUUCCGCAAUGGACGAAAGUCUGACGGAGCAACGCCGCGUGAGUGAUGAAGGUUUUCGGAUCGUAAAACUCUGUUGUUAGGGAAGAACAAGUACCGGAGUAACUGCCGGUACCUUGACGGUACCUAACCAGAAAGCCACGGCUAACUACGUGCCAGCAGCCGCGGUAAUACGUAGGUGGCAAGCGUUGUCCGGAAUUAUUGGGCGUAAAGCGCGCGCAGGCGGUUCCUUAAGUCUGAUGUGAAAGCCCCCGGCUCAACCGGGGAGGGUCAUUGGAAACUGGGGAACUUGAGUGCAGAAGAGAAGAGUGGAAUUCCACGUGUAGCGGUGAAAUGCGUAGAGAUGUGGAGGAACACCAGUGGCGAAGGCGACUCUUUGGUCUGUAACUGACGCUGAGGCGCGAAAGCGUGGGGAGCAAACAGGAUUAGAUACCCUGGUAGUCCACGCCGUAAACGAUGAGUGCUAAGUGUUAGAGGGUUUCCGCCCUUUAGUGCUGCAGCAAACGCAUUAAGCACUCCGCCUGGGGAGUACGGCCGCAAGGCUGAAACUCAAAGGAAUUGACGGGGCCCGCACAAGCGGUGGAGCAUGUGGUUUAAUUCGAAGCAACGCGAGAACCUUACCAGUCUUGACAUCUCCUGACACCCUAGAGAUAGGCGUUCCCUUCGGGACAGAUGACAGUGUGCAUGUGUCGUCAGCUCGUGUCGUGAGAUGUGGGUAGUCCGCACGAGCGCACCUGAUCUAGUGCAGCAUCAGUGGGCACUCUAGUGACUGCCGUGACAAACC